CGCUACUACCGAUUGAAUGGCUCAGUGAGGCGUUCGGACUGGCUCGAGGAGGUUGGCAACGACCACUCAGAGCCGGAAACUUGGUCAAACUUGGUCAUUUAGAGGAAGUAAAAGUCGUAACAAGGUC
rnacentral:rRNA from 1 species